UGGGGAAUAUUGGACAAUGGGCGCAAGCCUGAUCCAGCCAUGCCGCGUGGGUGAAGAAGGCCUUCGGGUUGUAAAGCCCUUUUGUCCGGAAAGAAAUCCUGUCGGUUAAUACCCGGCGGGGAUGACGGUACCGGAAGAAUAAGCACCGGCUAACUUCGUGCCAGCAGCCGCGGUAAUACGAAGGGUGCAAGCGUUACUCGGAAUUACUGGGCGUAAAGCGUGCGUAGGCGGUUCGUUAAGUCCGAUGUGAAAGCCCUGGGCUCAACCUGGGAACUGCAUUGGAUACUGGCGAGCUAGAGUGCGGUAGAGGAUGGUGGAAUUCCCGGUGUAGCGGUGAAAUGCGUAGAGAUCGGGAGGAACACCAGUGGCGAAGGCGGCCAUCUGGACCAGCACUGACGCUGAGGCACGAAAGCGUGGGGAGCAAACA
rnacentral:rRNA from 1 species